GGGUUGUGAGGUUAAGCGACUAAGCGUACACGGUGGAUGCCCUGGCAGUCAGAGGCGAUGAAGGGCGUGCUAAUCUGCGAUAAGCGCCGGUAAGGUGAUAUGAACCGUUAUAACCGGCGAUACCCGAAUGGGGAAACCCAGUGUGACUCGUCACACUAUCAUUAACUGAAUCCAUAGGUUAAUGAGGCGAACCGGGGGAACUGAAACAUCUAAGUACCCCGAGGAAAAGAAAUCAACCGAGAUUCCCCCAGUAGCGGCGAGCGAACGGGGAGGAGCCCAGAGCCUGAAUCAGCAUGUGUGUUAGUGGAAGCGUCUGGAAAGGCGCGCGAUACAGGGUGACAGCCCCGUACACAAAAGCGCAUGUGCUGUGAGCUCGAUGAGUAGGGCGGGACACGUGGUAUCCUGUCUGAAUAUGGGGGGACCAUCCUCCAAGGCUAAAUACUCCUGACUGACCGAUAGUGAACCAGUACCGUGAGGGAAAGGCGAAAAGAACCCCGGCGAGGGGAGUGAAAAAGAACCUGAAACCGUGUACGUACAAGCAGUGGGAGCACCACCUAGUCUGAACCGGGCGUUAAGUUGCAGGGUAUAGACCCGAAACCCGGUGAUCUAGCCAUGGGCAGGUUGAAGGUUGGGUAACACUAACUGGAGGACCGAACCGACUAAUGUUGAAAAAUUAGCGGAUGACCUGUGGCUGGGGGUGAAAGGCCAAUCAAACCGGGAGAUAGCUGGUUCUCCCCGAAAGCUAUUUAGGUAGCGCCUCGUGAAUUCAUCUCCGGGGGUAGAGCACUGUUUCGGCUAGGGGGCCAUCCCGGCUUACCAACCCGAUGCAAACUGCGAAUACCGGAGAAUGUUAUCACGGGAGACACACGGCGGGUGCUAACGUCCGUCGUGAAGAGGGAAACAACCCAGACCGCCAGCUAAGGUCCCAAAGUCAUGGUUAAGUGGGAAACGAUGUGGGAAGGCCCAGACAGCCAGGAUGUUGGCUUAGAAGCAGCCAUCAUUUAAAGAAAGCGUAAUAGCUCACUGGUCGAGUCGGCCUGCGCGGAAGAUGUAACGGGGCUAAACCAUGCACCGAAGCUGCGGCAGCGA
rnacentral:rRNA from 1 species